rnacentral:rRNA from 1 species
AUUGAACGCUGGCGGCAGGCCCAACACAUGCAAGUCGAGCGGAGCGGCGGACGGGCGAGUAAUGACUAGGAAUCUGCCUGGCAGUUGGGGAUAACGUCCGGAAACGGGCGCUAAUACCGCAUACUAUCAGAUGAGCCUAGGUCGGAUUAGCUAGUUGGUGGGGAAAAGUCCAACCAAGGCGACGAUCCGUAACUGGUCUGAGAGGAUGAUCAGUCAUACUGGAACUGAGAAACGGUCCAGAUUCCUACGGGAGGCAGCAGUGGGGAAUAUUGCACAAUGGGCGAAAGCCUGAUCCAGCCAGGCCGCGUGUAUGAAGAAGGUCUUCGGAUUGUAAAGCACUUUAAGUUGGGAGGCGUUACCAACAGAAGAAGCACCGGCUAACUUCGUGCCAGCAGCCGCGGUAAUAC